rnacentral:rRNA from 1 species
UACGAGGGGGCAAAUGUUGUUCGGAAUCACUGGGCGUAAAGGGAGCGUAGGCGGGUUCUUAAGUAAGGUGUUUAAUCCCGGGGCCCAACCCCGGACCGGCACUUUAAACUGGGAAUCUUGAAUAGUGGAGAGGUCGGUGGAAUUGGGGUGUAGCGGUGGAAUGCGUAGAGAUCCCCAAGAACACCAGUUGCGAAGGCGGCCGGCUGGACACAUAUUGACGCUGAGGCUCGAAAGCAUGGGGAGCAAACAGG